CCUACGGGAGGCAGCAGUGAGGAAUAUUGGUCAAUGGGCUUACGCCUGAACCAGCCAAGUCGCGUGAGGGAAGACUGCCCUAUGGGUUGUAAACCUCUUUUGUCAGGGAGCAACGCCGGCUACGUGUAGCCGGACUGAGAGUACCUGAAGAAAAAGCAUCGGCUAACUCCGUGCCAGCAGCCGCGGUAAUACGGAGGAUGCGAGCGUUCUCCGGAUUUAUUUGGGUUAAAGGGUGCGUAGGCGGAAUGCCAAGUCAGCGGUAAAAUCGCGGGGCUAAACCUCGCUCCGACGUUGAAACUGGUGUUCUUGAGUUGGCGAGAAGUAUGCGGAAUGCGUGGUGUAGCGGUGAAAUGCAUAGAUAUCACGCAGAAGUCCGAUUGCGAAGGCAGCAUACCGGCGCCCAACUGACGCUGAAGCACGAAAGCGUGGGUAUCGAACAGGAGUAGAUACCCCUGUAGUC
rnacentral:rRNA from 1 species